AAAGAACCCACUAGUGGCUGACACCAAAGCCAUGUUCCAGCCUUGCUGGAUCACCUCCCAGGGUGGGUUAAUUUUUAGGAAGCAAUCCUAAUGCUUCAAGAAAAUCAUCAGGAGGUCCUCACCUCCCACUUAGGGACCUGUCAACCACAUAUUAAGUUCUUCCCCUCAGCUGGUACUGCCCAUAACUUAAUAACAUAGAGGAUGUGAAAUGCUACAGCUUGUCCUAGAGAGAAGACACCUGGAGGAAGUAAAGCCAUUGGUAGAAUUUCAGACUCUGCACCAGAGUGGAAGGAAGGCAGUUUCAGGAAAGAGUGGCUGCUAUGACAGAUGAGGAAGCCUAGGAAAGACAGAGCCACCCAAUGGAGAAGCCUCAAGAAAAAGUUCAGCCGAAGAGGCAGAAUCCAGUGUCUAGAGGAUUCAAGGCAACAGAGAAAGGAAGUGGUCCAGGCAAGCUGUCAACGUCAGGAGCAUAACACAAAUUGGCAGGCCUUCCUAGCAGAGUUUUUGCUAUCUCUGACCAAGCAGAAGAUAAGUUGGACAGAUGCACCAUUCAGAGGCCAAGUUCCACACAGCAGUUUUUUUUUUUUUUUUUCUAGAAGUAACAUCUGGCUCUAUGGCUUUUUCCCCCUUGGAGACUCAGCGGCUAUGGACAUGGCUGGCUGGCUGCUUGGCUUGCUUCACAGCUGUGGGGCCACAUCCCAAGUUCCUCCGGCAUAAGCUGCAGCUGUGCAACAUCUGACUUCAUCCUUCCACGUCCCCCCGCCCCCCUUGUCCUUUUACUUGAGGCAGACCCCCAAGAAAUCCAGGCAAAACUCUGAAAAACAUGGGAUGGUGUCAGCACUCUGGUCCCUGGCCCUUGGUAGCUAUUAGAAGUAAAACCACACCUUGUAGGGACCAGUGUUCUGUCACCAUGUUAAUGGUUUGAGGAAGAGGUUAAACUCUUUGGUCAGGCAAGACCUGGGGGGAAACAUGAGUUUCUAUUCACAAGGGAGAUGAAAAGAAAAAUCUUUUUGGAGAGUGGGGCCUUUUCUGUCAGUGAGGCCAAAGAUUAAAAAUGAAGAGAAGAGCCUAUAAAGAUACUUACGAAAGAAUGGAGAGCAAUGGUCCCUAAGGAUCCAGAAAUACCUGUGAAUUGGAAGGAUUUCAGUUCUGGUAAUUCUUUGAAAACAACAUUUUCAUUUUCUAAGUGAUAUAUACUCAUUAAAGAAAAUAUAGAAAAAGAAAGAAAAAUAUAUAUACCUAGAGAAAAUCAUAUUUCUUCCAUCCAAACUCAGACCAUUUGGGGCAUUGCCUUCUUUCCCUUUUUUUCUUGAAUAUAGAAUUCUGGAGAGUUGGGCUUACCCCUAGAUUUAAUCAUACAUGAUAUAUGUUUAUAUAUGUACAAUAUUAUACAAGUUUUGUCAUGUAAUUAAUGUCCUUUGUAACAACUUUUAAGGGUGGUAUAAUUGAGCAGUUAUGGCAAUUUUCUAAAUCUAUUAUAAUUGUUUUAAUAGGCACUAAAGAGACAUUUUAAAGAAGCAAAUAAAAUCAGUAAAAAGAAAACCUGGAUUUAGGCAAUAAGAAGAGAGAAAAAAUAAACUCCAAGGUUUACUUAUAUAGCCCAGAGACUAGCAGGAUGGUGAUAUCAAUAGCAGAAAUAUUGAAGCAAGAAAGAGCUUGAGAGGUUGCCUAUUUCCUGGCUACUCAAAGUGUAGUCCAUGAAUCACCAACAUCAGCAUCAUCAGGGAACUUGUUAGAGGUGCAGAAUCUUAUCCUCCACCUCAGACCUACUGAGUCAGAACCUGCAUCUUAAAAGGACCUUCAGACAGUUGAUAUGCUCAACAAAGAUCAGGAAUCACUGGCUCAAUACAAUCCCUUUUCCCAACCAGAGAUGUAAAGUCUGGCUGCAGUCACACAGCUAAAUACUGGAGAUCUGGUCAACCUCUAGUAAUAAUACAAAAUAACAUUUAUCAAUAACUAAGUGCCAGGAAUGAUUCUAAUUGCUUUAUAUUUAAUGCUUACAACAACCAUGUUUGCAUCCCUUUUUAUGAUUAAAAAAAAAACAAAAAACUGAGUUUCAAGUAACUUGCCCAAGGUCCGAUAUUAACUGGCAGAACUGAGAUUGAACCCUGGGUAUCUGGGUAUCUGUCUUCACAGCUUAUACUCCUAACCACCAAACUAAACUGGAUGAUGAAUGACUGGAUGGAUGGAUGGAUGGAUGGAUGGAUGGA
rnacentral:lncRNA from 1 species